GACGAACGCUGGCGGCGUGCUUAACACAUGCAAGUCGAACGGAAAGGCCCUGCUUUUGUGGGUUGCUCGAGUGGCGAACGGGUGAGUAACACGUGAGUAACCUGCCCUUGACUUUGGGAUAACUUCAGGAAACUGGGGCUAAUACCGGAUAUGAGCUCCUGCUGCAUGGUGGGGGUUGGAAAGUUUCGGCGGUUGGGGAUGGACUCGCGGCUUAUCAGCUUGUUGGUGGGGUAGUGGCUUACCAAGGCUUUGACGGGUAGCCGGCCUGAGAGGGUGACCGGCCACAUUGGGACUGAGAGACGGCCCAGAAUCCUACGGGAGGCAGCAGUGGGGAAUAUUGCACAAUGGGCGGAAGCCUGAUGCAGCAACGCCGCGUGCGGGAUGACGGCCUUCGGGUUGUAAACCGCUUUCGCCUGUGACGAAGCGUGAGUGACGGUAAUGGGUAAAGAAGCACCGGCUAACUACGUG
rnacentral:rRNA from 1 species